rnacentral:telomerase_RNA from 1 species
AUGAGGAGGUCGGUUACCUAUUAAGAUGUCCAUGGUCGUCACGUUUAGUUACUAGUAUUUUUUCUCUUUUGUUUCUGUUUUUUGUGCAUUUUCCAUUUGAGUUUUCUAUUGUUGAGCCUCAGAUAUUUGGUAGACGCUUAAUGGUGGAAUGAUUGGACCGGAUUUAGGGUUGUGUUCUCAGAUUGGCGGGCAGUUACACUGGUUGUUGUUUUUUAACGAAGGGCUAUGAGUGCGCUGGUGUCAGUGUAGAUACAUAUGUAUGCGCACAUGUGGUUUUUGUUGUUCUUCUACUUAUAGAUCGCUAAAAUCUGAGUUUGAGAAAUGCGGGACCAUCCAUGUCCGAAUAUAACUGACGCAUUUUGUAGCUAGAACACGUUUUUCCUACAAUUAUCCCGCUCCUCUUAGAAAAAUUCUGCUUUCACUCCAACUCUUCAUCAUUUUAUAAGAAUUUGUCUACCAUUACCACACCCACACACAAACAUUACGGCUAGUAGUUUAUUAGUCAAAUUUCCAUGGCCACACAUUUUGUCUUUUUCUCGUUUUCUUAUUGUGUUUUCUGUCACUGUGAAAGUGACGGAGAAAAAGGAGUUUGAAUCAGAUUUGCAAAACGGGCUGUAUCAAUAAUACUGUCAUUCCUAAUGUCUGAUUCAUCGUCAACUCUGUAAAAAGAGAACAAGAAAGGAAAAAUUGAUGGGCAAAAGUAUAUAUAGAAAUGGUUUAUUCCCGUUUUUUCCAUUUUUCAGUAGAUUUUUCCCUUUUGCGAGAAUAAAUUGACACUUGAACAAAAAGCUUCGAAGAAAAAUCUAUUCACUGAACUUAUAUAUAGAAAAAUCAAAUGUGCUAAGUAUAUUUAAAAUGGAAACAAAUAGGGGGAAAGAGAUAGGUAGAUAAACAGCCCAAGGGACAAGGACACCCUUCCUCAGGCACUGAAUAUAUUGGAGAGUGGACAGUAACAGAGAAAUGAUACAAGAUGGAAAGCCAUAAAUUGAGAUUUUCUUGAAUGGGUUCAUUUAGAUAUUUCUCUUUAGCCAUUUUUGAUAAUCAAUACAGUAUUCUUGUUCCCAUCCUUGUCAGAUUAAGGAAGGAACAUUAAUUCCAAACAGGAAAAACUGUGUGUUCACUUCGUGGGUUUGCGUGUUGUACAUUUCCUUCAUCCGUGUUGGCGGUUACUUUCCUCAAUAUACCUUCAGUGCAUACAAAUUUUUGGAACAAUUU